rnacentral:rRNA from 1 species
UUGAUGUGGGGGGAUUCGACCCCUUCCGUGUUGAAGCUAACGCGAUAAGCUCACCGCCUGAGGAGUACGGCAGCAAGGGCUAAAACUCAAAGAAAUUGACGGGGACCCGCACAAGCGGUGGAGUAUGUGGCUUAAUUCGAUGCAACGCGAAGAACCUUACCUGGCCUUGACAUGCAUUGUGUCGUCGGUGAAAGCCGGCUAGUUCCUGGAAACAGGACGCUUUGCACAGGUGCUGCAUGGCUGUCGUCAGCUCGUGUCGUGAGAUGUUGGGUUAAGUCCCGCAACGAGCGCAAACCCUUGUGGUCAGUUACUAACCGGCUUAGCCGGAGACUUCUGGCCAGACUGCCCUGUCAAACGGGGAGGAAGGUGGGACGACCGUCAAGUCAGUAUGGCCCUUAUGGCCAGGGCUGAACACGUACUACAAUGCCCGGUACAAUGUGAACCGAAACCGCGAGGUGGAGGAAAUCGCUCUUGAAAACCGGGCCCAGUUCGGAUUGGAGUCUGCAACUCGACUCCAUGAAGUCGGAAUCGCUAGUAAUGGCGUAUCAGCAACGACGCCGGAAUACGUUCCCGGGUCUGUACACACCGCCGGUCACAUCAUGAGUUCUCCUGUACCCGAAGCACGUGCGCAAACAUUACAGAGCAGC